UUAGAGUUUGAUCAUGGCUCAGGAUGAACGCUAGCGGGAGGCCUAACACAUGCAAGCCGAGCGGUAUUGUUUCUUCGGAAAUGAGAGAGCGGCGUACGGGUGCGGAACACGUGUGCAACCUGCCUUUAUCUGGGGGAUAGCCUUUCGAAAGGAAGAUUAAUACUCCAUAAUAUAUUGAACGGCAUCGUUUAAUAUUGAAAGCUCCGGCGGAUAGAGAUGGGCACGCGCAAGAUUAGCUAGUUGGUGAGGUAACGGCUCACCAAGGCGAUGAUCUUUAGGGGGCCUGAGAGGGUGAUCCCCCACACUGGUACUGAGACACGGACCAGACUCCUACGGGAGGCAGCAGUGAGGAAUAUUGGUCAAUGGGUGCAAGCCUGAACCAGCCAUCCCGCGUGAAGGACGACUGCCCUAUGGGUUGUAAACUUCUUUUGUAUAGGGAUAAACCUACCCUCGUGAGGGUAGCUGAAGGUACUAUACGAAUAAGCACCGGCUAACUCCGUGCCAGCAGCCGCGGUAAUACGGAGGGUGCAAGCGUUAUCCGGAUUUAUUGGGUUUAAAGGGUCCGUAGGCGGACUUAUAAGUCAGUGGUGAAAGCCUGUCGCUUAACGAUAGAACUGCCAUUGAUACUGUAAGUCUUGAGUAUAUUUGAGGUAGCUGGAAUAAGUAGUGUAGCGGUGAAAUGCAUAGAUAUUACUUAGAACACCAAUUGCGAAGGCAGGUUACCAAGAUAUAACUGACGCUGAGGGAUGAAAAGCGUGGGGAGCGAACAGGAUUAGAUACCC
rnacentral:rRNA from 1 species